CAGCCGCCACGGGAAUACGAAGGGGGCUAGCGUUGUUCGGAAUCACUGGGCGUAAAGCGCACGUAGGCGGACUUUUAAGUCAGGGGUGAAAUCCCAAGGCUCAACCUUGGAACUGCCUUUGAUACUGGAAGUCUUGAGUUCGGGAGAGGUGAGUGGAACUGCGAGUGUAGAGGUGAAAUUCGUAGAUAUUCGCAAGAACACCAGUGGCGAAGGCGGCUCACUGGCCCGAUACUGACGCUGAGGUGCGAAAGCGUGGGGAGCAAACAGGAUUAGAUACCCCUGUAGUCCCUGUCUCUUAUAC
rnacentral:rRNA from 1 species